CACAAGAUUUUACAACUGCAGCUUUCCAUCCUUAUGACUUUGAGUAAUGUUUUGCUUCUGAAUGUUUAUGCUUUCCAGCUAUGAGUGAAUACAUGAAAUAGCUCUUCUGUGCAGUGGGAAGCAACCUAACGAGCCUGAGCUGCACUGAGGGCACUGGAGGAGUUUACAAAUGUGUGGAGAGCAUGUGCUGAGCAACCCAGGGGAAACCACUCAAGGGAGUCCUCUGACAGAGCUGGGGACAGCACUGUGCCUGGAGCAGAACAGAAAAUCAACCUAAGCAAAAAAAGAGGCAUCUCAAUCUCCAGUUGAAUGCAUUUCACAGGAAGCCAGAACAUGUUUUGGAUGGCAAAAUGGGAUAAGAGGAUUUACAUACUGGCCACUGCAGUAAAAAGAGACUCAGAAGAAGAGUACAGCCAGUCUGCUGCUCCACUGGUCAAGAUCUGUGGACACCAAAAGCACAAUCAGAGAGCUGAAGUUUCAGCAUCUGGGGCACUCGUUAUGCAGC